rnacentral:rRNA from 1 species
GAGUUUGAUCUUGGCUCAGAUUGAACGCUGGCGGCAUGCCUUACACAUGCAAGUCGAACGGCAGCAUGAUCUAGCUUGCUAGAUUGAUGGCGAGUGGCGAACGGGUGAGUAAUACAUCGGAACGUGCCCUGUAGUGGGGAGUAACUAGUCGAAGAUUAGCUAAUACCGCAUACGACCUGAGGGUGGAAAGUAGGGGGACCGGCAAGGCCUCACGCUAUAGGAGCGGCCGAUGUCUGAUUAG